rnacentral:rRNA from 1 species
ACGGCGAGUGAAGCGGUAACAGCUCAAAUUUGAAAUCUGGCCUCACGGUCCGAGUUGUAAUUUGUAGAGGAUGCUUCGAGCAUGGUCUGGCCUAAGUUCCUUGGAACAGGACGUCAUAGAGGGUGAGAAUCCCGUAUGCGGCCAGGUGCCUACGCUCAUGUGAAGCUCCUUCGACGAGUCGAGUUGUUUGGGAAUGCAGCUCAAAAUGGGUGGUAAAUUUCAUCUAAAGCUAAAUAUUGGCCAGAGACCGAUAGCGCACAAGUAGAGUGAUCGAAAGAUGAAAAGCACUUUGGAAAGAGAGUUAAACAGUACGUGAAAUUGUUGAAAGGGAAGCGCUUGCAACCAGACUUGCGCGCGGCCGAUCAUCCGGUGUUCUCACCGGUGCACUCGGCCGUGCUCAGGCCAGCAUCGGUUUUGGCGGCUGGAUAAAGGCCCUAGGAAUGUAGCUCCUCUCGGGGAGUGUUAUAGCCUAGGGUGCAAUGCAGCCUGCUGGGACCGAGGACCGCGCUUCGGCUAGGAUGCUGGCGUAAUGGUUGUAAGCGGCCCGUCUUGAAACACGGACCAAGGAGUCUAACAUCUAUGCGAGUGUUUGGGUGUCAAACCCAUACGCGUAAUGAAAGUGAACGGAGGUGAGAACCCUUAAGGGUGCAUCAUCGACCGGUCCUGAAGUUUACGGAAGGAUCUGAGUAAGAGCAUAGCUGUUGGGACCC